UACGAAGGGAGCUAGCGUUGUUCGGAAUCACUGGGCGUAAAGCGCACGUAGGCGGAUGUGUCAGUCAGGGGUGAAAUCCCGGAGCUCAACUUCGGAACUGCCUUUGAUACAGCACGUCUUGAGUCCGGAAGAGGUGGGUGGAAUUCCUAGUGUAGAGGUGAAAUUCGUAGAUAUUAGGAAGAACACCGGUGGCGAAGGCGGCCCACUGGGACGGUACUGACGCUAAGGCGCGAAAGCGUGGGGAGCGAACAGG
rnacentral:rRNA from 1 species